rnacentral:rRNA from 1 species
GACGUAGGAGGCGAGCGUUAUCCGGAUUCACUGGGCGUAAAGCGCAAGUAGGCGGUUGUGAAAGUCCGUUGUUAAAGCCCCUGGCUCAACUGGGGGAGGUCAAUGGAGACUUUAUGACUUGAGGGCAACAGAGGCAUGUGGAACUCCCGGUGUAGCGGUGAAAUGCGUAGAUAUCGAGAGGAACACCUGCGGCGAAGGCGGGUUGCUGGGCUGACACUGACGCUGAUGCGCGAAAGCCAGGGGAGCGAACGGG